ACCUCCACACAUGGGAACAAAAGGCUCACCCCUCCCUUACCGGUGACAAGUGUCCGAAGUUGGUGACACUUGUCACCGCCAUUCACCAGCCCAAACACGGACGUUUAAAAGACAUCUUGGAAUAAAAAUUAGCAUUUCGACAAAGCCUUUCUCUCUCUUCAAUCCCCAACAGUCAAGCGCUCUACAACCCUAAAUAUCUCCGCGACCGCAACCUACCGGAGAAGACGGUGGUUGUCGGCCGCGAACCCACACCCAAACCACCAAAGCCUAAACACUAACCCCCUCUCAUUUUUUCUCCUACAUCCGAAUCUAAAAACCUUUUCCUCCAAAUACUCCACAUAUGACCAGAUCGACUUCCCCAACUUCAAAACUUGAAUUCUCCCUCUAAAACCUAAGCCAAAUUCCCUCUUGCCUACGAACCUGGAACUAUCAUAAUAGAAAAAUCCAUAAACCACAAAUCCAAAAGAAAACCCUAAAUAAAAAUUAAACCACCAACGUUAACGAUUUCAAAAAAAAACAAGGGGGUUCUGCUCAACUCAACAUGGCGAAGACAAUGGUGACUGGAAAUUAAAGAGAUAAUGAAGACUCACUAGAUUGGAACGAGUCCGACAAUCUUUCCGGCAAGGUCUUGCUGAGAGAAAAUGAAGGACAUGGAAAAUGAAGGACAUGGUAGGAAUGUGGAAAGCAUAGGCGCGUGGGGACCGUUCAAAGACGUUGAACCCUCUUUCAUUUUUGUAUUUUUUCUUUGUAUUAGACCUCAUGGAACAAUACUUUGUAUUAGUAAAAUAUUUUAUCUAUGUAGUGGCGAACUUCUAUCUAACAAAGUACUUAUUUUAAUUGCAAGUUAA